rnacentral:rRNA from 1 species
UACGUAGGGGGCCAGCGUUGCUCGGAAUUACUGGGCGUAAGGGGUUCGUAGGUGGUGCGGCAAGUUGGAAGUGAAAUCUCUGGGCUUAACCCAGAGGCUGCUUUCAAAACUGCCGCGCUCGAGUGCGAGAGAGGUCAGUGGAAUUGCAGGUGUAGCGGUGAAAUGCGUAGAUAUCUGCAGGAACACCCGUGGCGAAGGCGGCUGACUGGAUCGCAACUGACACUGAGGAACGAAAGCUAGGGGAGCAAACAGG